rnacentral:rRNA from 1 species
GACGAACGCUGGCGGCGUGCCUGACACAUGCAAGUCGGACGGUUCUUGCACCUUCAAGCUUGCUUGCUGGUGCAGGGAUAGUGGCGGACGGGUGAGUAACGCGUGAACAUCUACCCAUUGGAGGGGGACAACCCGUCGAAAGGCGGGCUAAUACCGCGUAAGCCGUGAGGUGAGAGGCUGCCUAUUGGUGGCCGCCGAUGGAUGGGUUCGCGUCCUAUCAGCUGGUUGGUGGGGUAACGGCCUACCAAGGCGAAGACGGGUAGCCGGUCUGAGAGGAUGGCCGGCCACACUGGAACUGAGACACGGUCCAGACUCCUACGGGAGGCAGCAGUGGGGAAUAUUGGGCAAUGGGGGUAACCCUGACCCAGCGACGCCGCGUGAGGGACGAAGGUUUUCGGAUCGUAAACCUCUGUUGUACGGGAAGAAGGAAUUGACGGUACCGUACGAGAAAGCCCCGGCAAACUACGUG